CUUGUGUUGACUGCACAAAUGCUGACUGUAAACCUCUUCCUCUUUCAGUGCAGAACUUAGGAGACGGCACCAGUCGUCCAAGGUUUGAUCUGCUGAUUUCAGACUAUAUCCUAUUCUUCAAAUCAUUUUCUGUUGCAGGAGAAAGUCCUUCUUUGAUAUUUCUAUAUACAAAGACAGACAUGGUAUUUAAAUUUUUUUCCUCAAUAUUCUGUCUUCAGUACUUCCCCA
rnacentral:lncRNA from 1 species